rnacentral:rRNA from 1 species
UACAGAGGGUGCGAGCGUUAAUCGGAAUUACUGGGCGUAAAGCGUGCGUAGACGGUAGCGUAAGUCAGAUGUGAAAGCCCCGGGCUCAACCUGGGAAUUGCAUUUGAGACUGCUCUGCUCGGGUGCGGAAGAGGGAAGCGGAAUUUCCGGUGUAGCGGUGAAAUGCGUAGAUAUGCGGAGGAACACCGAUGGCGAAGGCAAUCCCCUGGGCCUGCACUGACGCUCAUGCACGCAAGCGUGGGGAGCAAACAGG